rnacentral:misc_RNA from 1 species
UUAAGUUCAGCGGGUAAUCUUGCUUGAUCCGAGGUCGACCUUAAUAUGUGGUGGGUUACAAAAGGCAAUCCUUUAUCGUUUCGCUUUCAGACACAUUUUGCUGUGCUUGGCUAAACUUCAGACGCCAAUAAGUUUGAAGCCGUUGAUUUUAUGCAUACGCACAAGAAUCAACAGGCUCAUCGCAAGGCAAAGCCUUAUGG